rnacentral:rRNA from 1 species
AUUGAACGCUGGCGGCAGGCCUAACACAUGCAAGUCGAGCGGAUGAAGGGAGCUUGCUCCUGGAUUCAGCGGCGGACGGGUGAGUAAUGCCUAGGAAUCUGCCUGGUAGUGGGGGAUAACGUCCGGAAACGGGCGCGAAUACCGCAUACGUCCUGCGGGAGAAAGUGGGGGAUCUUCGGACCUCACGCUCUCAGAUGAGCCUAGGUCGGAUUAGCUAGUUGGUGGGGUAAAGGCCAACCUAGGCGACGAUCCGUAACUGGUCUGAGAGGAUGAUCAGUCACACUGGAACUGAGACACGGUCCAGACUCCUACGGGAGGCAGCAGUGGGGAAUAUUGGACAAUGGGCGAAAGCCUGAUCCAGCCAUGCCGCGUGUAUGAAGAAGGUCUUCGGAUUGUAAAGCACUUUAAGUUGGGAGGAAGGGAAGUAAGUUAAUACCUUGCUGUAUUGACGUUACCAACAGAAGAAGCACCGGCUAACUUCGUG